rnacentral:rRNA from 1 species
AUUGAACGCUGGCGGCAGGCCUAACACCUGCAAGUCGAGCGGAACGGCGGACGGGUGAGUAAGUCCUAGGAAUCUGCCUGGUCGUGGGGGGUACCGUCCGGAAACGGGCGCUAAUACCGCAUAAUAGCCGAUGAGCCUAGGUCGGAUGAGCUAGUUGGUGGGGUAAAGGCCUACAAAGGCGGCGAUCCGUAACUGGGCUGAGCGGAUGAUCAGUCACACUGGGACUGAGAGACGGUCCAGACGCCGACGGGCGGCAGCAGUGGGGAAUAUGGGACAAUGGGCGAAAGCGUGAUCCAGCCAUGCCGCGUGUGUGAAGAAGGUCUUCGGAGUGUAAAGCACUGUAGGUUGAGAGGCGUUACCAACAGAGUAAGCACCGGCUAACUUCGUGCCAGCCGCCGCGGUAAUUC